rnacentral:rRNA from 1 species
UACGUAGGGUGCGAGCGUUAAUCGGAAUUACUGGGCGUAAAGCGUGCGUAGGCGGUUCGUUAAGUUUGCGGUGAAAGCCCCGGGCUCAACCUGGGAAUGGCCGUGGAAACUGGCGGGCUGGAGUCUGGCAGAGGGGGGUGGAAUUCCGCGUGUAGCAGUGAAAUGCGUAGAGAUGCGGAGGAACACCGAUGGCGAAGGCAGCCCCCUGGGCCAAUACUGACGCUGAGGCACGAAAGCGUGGGGAGCAAACAGG